GCCGCCGCGGUAAUACGGGGGGAGCAAGCGUUGUUCGGAUUUACUGGGCGUAAAGGGCGCGUAGGCGGCGCAACAAGUCAGUUGUGAAAUCUCUGGGCUCAACUCAGAGCGGCCAACUGAUACUGUCGUGCUAGAGUGCGGAAGGGGCUACUGGAAUUCUCGGUGUAGCGGUGAAAUGCGUAGAUAUCGAGAGGAACACCUGUGGCGAAGGCGGGU
rnacentral:rRNA from 1 species